GCCAUACCGCGUGUGUGAAGAAGGCCUUCGGGUUGUAAAGCACUUUAAGCAGGGAGAAAAAGUUAUAAGCUAAUAUCUUAUGACCUUGAUGUUACCUGCAGAAUAAGCACCGGCUAAUUCCGUGCCAGCAGCCGCGGUAAU
rnacentral:rRNA from 1 species